UUAAGGGCCGCAGAAGACUACUGCGUUGAUAGGAGGUCGGUGAAAGCUCAGCAAUGGGUGCAGCCUAGCCUUACUAAUUGCCCGUUAACUUCCUUUUU
rnacentral:rRNA from 1 species